UACGAAGGGGGCUAGCGUUGCUCGGAAUCACUGGGCGUAAAGCGCACGUAGGCGGAUCGUUAAGUCAGGGGGGAAAUCCUGGAGCUCAACUCCAGAACUGCCUUUGAUACUGGCGAUCUUGAGUUCGGGAGAGGUGAGUGGAACUGCGAGUGUAGAGGUGAAAUUCGUAGAUAUUCGCAAGAACACCAGUGGCGAAGGCGGCUCACUGGCCCGAUACUGACGCUGAGGUGCGAAAGCGUGGGGAGCAAACAGG
rnacentral:rRNA from 1 species